rfam:Pontibacillus yanchengensis Y32 contig29, whole genome shotgun sequence.
GGCAUUUUAUUUCUAAACCAUGAUUAGCCCCGGAAAACUAAUUAUGUUGAGAAUAAAAAAA